rnacentral:rRNA from 1 species
ACGGGGGGAGCAAGCGUUGUUCGGAUUUACUGGGCGUAAAGGGCGCGUAGGCGGCGUGACAAGUCACUUGUGAAAUCUCCGGGCUUAACCCGGAGCGGCCAAGUGAUACUGUCGUGCUAGAGUGCGGAAGGGGCUACUGGAAUUCUCGGUGUAGCGGUGAAAUGCGUAGAUAUCGAGAGGAACAUCUGUGGCGAAGGCGACUACCUGGACCAGCACUGACACUGAGGCACGAAAGCGUGGGGAGCAAACAGGA